rnacentral:lncRNA from 1 species
GAGAGGGGCCCCACUGGGUGUCUGGGAGGCCAGACCCGGGGGGGGGGGGGGGGGGGAGCUAAAGACAGCCUGGUAGCCAGAGGGGCCUAAGGCCCAGCAGGGGGCCGCGCACCUGGGCCUGGAGGGCACCUGCCUGGCUCCCCCUUCGCUGUCCUGAUUAGCAGCAGUGGUGGGCGUGGACGCAGGCUGCCUGUGGGCGUGGGGGCCAGGAUCCUGCACAGCCCUGAGCCCCGCCUUGCCACACAGUAGGGGGCAGCCGGCCCGGAAGAGCCGCAGCGAGGGGGCAGGCACCGGGCCCAGCGCUCAGCAUUGCCCUCCCUCGACCUUCACGCCAGCCCUGGGACAGUGGUGCUGUCCUGGUCUCACACGCGGGGAAACUGAGGCACGAGGCCACCCGGCCCCAGCUGGCCAUCUGUGGACCCAGUGCUGACCCCAGUCCCGGAGCUCUGGGCCCCAGCAUCGCACCCCCCAGUCACCUGCAUCUGACAGGCAUCCCCCAAGCCCCAGUUCAGCCUCUCGCCCGCCCUGUUCAUUCCGGGGCAGCCCAGCGCGUGGGCCCCGAGGGCGGUGGCCAGGCCACCCCAGGGUGGGCUCAGCCAGAGCCCAGGAGAUGCUGUGGGUGAAAGAGCGAGCGGGGGGGGGGACGCUGGCGCCUGCCUCUACUCCCACGUGUGGCCACCUCGCAGGGCAGCAUGGCCCUCGUGUCCCCUGCCCUUGCCUGAGGGGAGGGGUCCCAGGCCCCGCCCCCUUGCUCUGUCUCCGCACCCACCCCUUCCCCACUAACCUGCCUCUGUCUCUUCUCUUGCAGCCAACAGCUCCCUGCUCGGAGGCGGUGGCGUGGACGGGUGCAUUCAUCGGGCCGCCGGACCCCUGCUCACUGACGAGUGCCGGACCCUGCAGAGCUGCGAGACUGGCAAGGCCAAGAUCACCGGUGGCUAUCGGCUCCCGGCCAAGUGUGAGUCCCGGGACCGUGGGCGGGGCACCCGCGUGCAGCUCGGGCAGGGGCCGCGGCCUCCGCUGGCCCGCGGACGCCGCCUUCUGGACACUUGCUGCCCGUGGUGCCUGGACCUGGCCUCAGGGAGCGGAGGGGGGAGGGCGGGAGGCGGUGUGUGCAGCUGGGCAGGUACGGGGACCCAGAGGGGGGCGGCAGCGCCUUCGCGCCCCCAGCCUCAG